UACGGAGGAUGCAAGCGUUAUCCGGAUUUAUUGGGUUUAAAGGGUGCGCAGGUUGUUUGAUAAGUCAGUGGUGAAAGUCUAUCGCUUAACGGUAGGAUUGCCAUUGAUACUGUUGGACUUGAAUAUGGAUGAGGUAGGCGGAAUGUGUAGUGUAGCGGUGAAAUGCAUAGAUAUUACACAGAACACCGAUUGCGAAGGCAGCUUACUAAUCCAUCAUUGACGCUAAGGCACGAAAGCGUGGGGAUCAAACAGGA
rnacentral:rRNA from 1 species